rnacentral:lncRNA from 1 species
CAUCAUUCAAUAAUUAAUAAAUUAAUGUAGUUUUACCAUGUGUAGUUCAAGAACACGAGCAUUAGACAGUGUAUUCCAGGUGGCAAGUCGAAUAGAACUUUCAACACAGCGGUGUAAAUAUACUGAAACUUGCAGUCCAAAAAUUAGAUCACCGUAAGAUAUGGAAGAAAACUGCUCUACAAGUUCUUCAAUAAAUGACGAGUAACUUUCGUGAAUAUCGGAUUUGAACCUCAGGAACUCAAUAUGCUUUUUAUCAUCCGAAAUAGCUUCUUUAUUUUGGUUAAACCUCUCCUUAUCAAGAAGCUCACCGUAAAGAUCCUGUAAAGCUUCAAAAGUUUCCCUGCCUUGAUCUUGUUCCAGUAUUUCCAUUCCAACAAGGAAAUUGACAGAUAAUGAAUGUAACUUCCAUGUCAAUGAUACACGCUGAAUAGGAGAAGGAAUGCCACUUCCUAUAAAACUGGACAUUGUUUCAAUGCCUAAAAUAAAGAAAAGUCCACAUUUGGCCACUUUAAGCAAAUUAGCGGGAUCAUGUGGGUUAUGUACACUACCAACUUUUUGAGGACCAGCUCGCUUAGUAAGGGGAAUUGUUGAGGUUGGACUAAGGUAAAAGUGGACCGGAAGUGGUAGGUUCUGUCGAGCGCAUUCUAUCAUCAAAGAAUUAUAGCAAGGACUUGUUGUAGAAGACAUAUAUGAGUCUUCAUAUAUCGUAUCCAAACACACAUCGGCUUUUGGAGUGGCCUUAAAAAUAGAAAAGAACCCAUUAUCUUCAAAACUGUGAGGAAGAAGAAUGAGUUCUGAGUUUUCUCCUUUUCCAAUUACCCCUAAAAUUGUAAGUUUCGUUCAUUAUCAAUCUGAAAUUAACAAAACAUCAAUUACCCCUUAAAUUGAAGAACGUUAAUCAAUUUACCCCCUCCGUCAAAUUUUUGUAGUGAAUAUGACGUUUUGCAAAUACCCACUGAAGUUUUGCACUUAUAUGCAAAAUGUCCCCGAGCUUGAAAAUUUAUAUUUUUUUAUCUUGUAAUGAGAACUAUUGUUGUUCUUUUUUAUUUAUUUAUUUCGGCGGAAAUAGGAUAGAAAGGUAACAUAGUGAUUUCCUUGAUGAUUAAUUUAUUAAAUUUAAUCUUGAUAGCCAAACCAGGCAAUCAUGGAAUACAAAAUGUCAGUACACUCCAAUCAGUAACAUUUAAGAGAAUCCAUUUACAAAAUCUAAUACCCUUUGUUGCUCUUUCUGAGUGACCUAUAUUUACAUGCUUGAAUACCUCACAAGGAAUUUUUCUCUGCAGCAUCCUUCAACUUCUUUACCUGGGUCAGAAGAGAGGAAUUUCCCUCACAUGCCUCAUUCAAUACUUUCAUCCUGGACUCUAACCAGCUCUCUUCAUGCAGUAGACCAUCCAGCUGCUCAUCCAUGUUAGAUGUUGAUUGCUUGUUAUGCGAAAUGAGGUUCAUUAACAUUCCCUGUAACAGAAAUUCUAUCAGUAACGGUUGCAUAUAGCACAAGGCCAACUACACCAUCAUGCAAGUAUAUGCAGGUGCAAUAUAUCUCAUUCAAAUAGUGAAAUAAUAUUUUGACAAACCUGACAAAAAAUUGGAUGAUUAACAGUUUAAAGAUAUGGUUAAGUACGUUUAGUUGAUAGCUAAUGAAUAUAGCAAUGUAUUUCAACUCAUUCACUAUCCAAAACCAUUAACUAACCACGAUUUUAAGGUUCCAUAUAUACGUGAUAUCCAUUAAUCAUCCAAAUUGUGUUCAAAUAUACAUGAUAUCGAUCAACUGCGAAACAUUCAAAGUCAUUGUUACUUGUGUUCAGUAGACGGUCAAUGAGUUGUGAACAUAAUUAACCAUAUACUUGAACUGUAAUUAAUCAUCCUAAUUGUCAAAAAAUGUUUCAUUUUGUAUCCAAAUAGCACAGUUCUUAAAUAAGGAUUAAUAAGAUACACCAUAAUCUUAUCUUCCACUUUCAUCCAUGGCAAAUACACGCAAACACAAACAUUUACUUGAUAUGUGUUUGGCAGCACAAAUUUUGAAUGGAAAUUUCUCUAAGUAACCAUACAUCCAUCGGGUAAAAAGCAUUCAAAACAUGCUCACCUCAUGUUGCUGCUUCCCAGCAUAAUCUCUCAAGAGAGACCUAACAAGCCUGUUGCGCAGCAAUAACUUAUCCACAGGACAAGCAUUAAAUAUGAAUGAGGAAAGGUGAUGGACAGCCAUAGUAUAUGAAACUGAUCCUCGAAUCUCAGCCCUGUCAAGGGCAUCAGAAACCCAUGACUUAGCAUAAGCCUCCAAGAUCUCUUCAUUAUCCUGCAGCAACAGUACGUUACGAAUGUUUGAUAGAAAUCCAGUAUAUCCAAUGAAUGACUUGUAUACACUGCCAGUUUAAAUUAUGCCAGUGGACCCAUCUUACAUAUUAAUGUGAAAAGAAAAUUGUUCCAACUGCCCUAACCAUUAGAUUCCAAUUAUUGCUACUAAAAGAAAUUACAGAUAACAUUAACAGAAGAAAAAUAAGAGUUACAGAAAACAGAGCAAUUCACAUUCCUUGUAUGAUAACUUGCUUGACAAGCCUUUCAUGUUAGUGUCGAACUUCAAAAAACACGAAAGAUACAGCCUUAGAAUUCUUCACUACAAAAAAACAUGUCACAAAAGAUACACCCUAUUGAUAUGUGCGUGUUUGGUACAAAGAGACUUUUAAAAAUAUAUUAUGAUCUUUGUAUUUAUUGUUUAGGAAUAUUGCAAAGGCAUAUCAUAUCGUAUCAUGCUAUGUAAAUGAGAAUAAUAUUUCCCAUAUUCUGUGAUACAUGUUAGUUGAAACACAAUAUUCAACAUAUGUCACCCACUUAUUUCUCUCUCAACAUGGUAUCUAGAGAUCACUGAUACAAAGGCUAUAACCUCUAGUGUAAUGCAUUUCCAUAUUUCCCUAUUUGUGGUUGGGCCUAUGAAUCAUUGACGAUUGUUUCGUCGUCCAGAUCUUCAUUAUUCUACUCAUCCUUAGAAUACUCUUCAAGUUCAUUAUUAAAUACCACCCCAACAGCUAUAUCUAACUGAGAUACCAGAUGUGCAUAUAUAAAAUUCUUUGAACACUUCAAAAAAUUCACCCAACAACUCUUUUCUUUUACCGAUUUUAGCUUCAAUACAAGAAAAAAUAAAAGUCUACUGUACUCUGUAGCAGAUGUUCUAUGUUUUAAACCACACUUUAAACACAAAUUUUCAAUAAAUUAUAAUCAUGACAACAUACAACAUACAAAUGACAUUUAUAUCUUCGAUUUUAAAAAAAGAACGGGUAUCAAAAGCAUAAGAUAUAUUAUGUGUAGACAAUGUUCCGUAGUAAAAUAACUGAGAAUUAAUUGUUUACCUCUGCAGGUUCAAGAUAUCCUUCAGCGCCAGAAAAACAUUUCUCUAAAGGAGGCAAAAGUUCAAGAACACGAGCAUUAGACAGUGUAUUCCAGGUGGCAAGUCGAAUAGAACUUUCAACACAGCAGUGUAAAUAUACUGAAACUUGCCGUCCAAAAAUUAGAUCACCGUAAGAUAUGGAAGAAAACUGCUCUACAAGUUCUUCAAUAAAUGUCGAGUAACUUUCGUGAAUAUCGGAUUUGAACCUCAGGAACUCAAUAUGCUUUUUAUCAUCCGAAAUAGCUUCUUUAUUUUGGUUAAACCUCUCCUUAUCAAGAAGCUCACCGUAAAGAUCCUGUAAAGCUUCAAAAGUUUCCCUGCCCUGAUCUUGUUCCAGUAUUUCCAUUCCAACAAGGAAAUUGACAGAUAAUGAAUGUAACUUCCAUGUCAAUGAUACACGCUGAAUAGGAGAAGGAAUGCCAGUUCCUAUAAAACUGGACAUUGUUUCAAUGCCUAAAACAAAGAAAAGUCCACAUUUGGCCACUUCAAGCAAAUUAGCGGGAUCAUGUGGGUUAUGUACACUACCAACUUUUUGAGGACCAGCUCGCUUGGUAAGGGGAAUUGUUGAGAUUGGACUAAGGUAAAAGUGGACCGGAAGUGGUAGGUUCUGUCGAGCCCAUUCUAUCAUCAAAGAAUUACAGCAAGGACUUGUUGUAGAAGACAUAUCUGAGUCUUCAUAUAUCGUAUCCAAACGCACAUCGGCUUUUGGAGUGGCCUUAACGCCAGAAGAACUACUGCCAUCCACAGCU